AGGCGAUAAGGGGACCUCGAGUGCCAGGUUACAAAUCUGGCUGUCGUGAUGCAUAAAAAGCAUUGCACAGCAAGGGCCGGGCAAGACCGGUGCCAGCCGCCGCGGUAACACCGGCGGCUCGAGUGGUAACCGUUAUUAUUGGGUCUAAAGGGUCUGUAGCCGGCCGGAUAAGUCUCUUGAGAAAUCCAGCAGCUCAACUGUUGGGCUUUCAGGAGAUACUGUUCGGCUCGAGGCCGGGAGAGGUGAGAGGUACUUCAGGGGUAGGGGUGAAAUCUUGUAAUCCUUGAAGGACCACCAGUGGCGAAGGCGUCUCACCAGAACGGACCUGACGGCAAGGGACGAAAGCUAGGGGCACGAACCGGAUUAGAUACCCGGGUAGUCCUAGCCGUAAACGAUACUCGCUAGGUGUCGGCCACGGUGCGACCGUUGUCGGUGCCGUAGGGAAGCCGUGAAGCGAGCCACCUGGGAAGUACGGCCGCAAGGCUGAAACUU
rnacentral:rRNA from 1 species